rnacentral:rRNA from 1 species
GUGCCAGCCGCCGCGGUAAGACGGAGGGUGCAAGCGUUGUUCGGAAUUACUAGGCGUAAAGAGCGUGUAGGUGGUUAGCUAAGUCGGAUGUGAAAAUUCCGAGCUCAACUCGGAACCUGCAUUCGAAACUGGUUAACUUGAGUGUGGGAGAGGAGAGUGGAAUUCCUAGUGUAGCGGUGAAAUGCGUAGAUAUUAGGAAGAACACCAGUGGCGAAGGCGACUCUCUGGCCUAAAACUGACACUGAGACGCGAAAGCGUGGGGAGCGAACAGGAUUAGAUACCCUGGUAGUCCACGCUGUAAACGAUGGGCAUUAGGUGUAGGAGGUAUCCAAUCCUUCUGUGCCGAAGCUAACGCAUUAAAUGCCCCGCCUGGGGAGUACGGUCGCAAGGCUGAAACUUAAAGGAAUUGGCGGGG